rnacentral:rRNA from 1 species
GCGGCAGGCCUAACACAUGCAAGUCGAGCGGUAGCACAGAGAGCUUGCUCUCGGGUGACGAGCGGCGGACGGGUGAGUAAUGUCUGGGAAACUGCCUGAUGGAGGGGGAUAACUACUGGAAACGGUAGCUAAUACCGCAUAACGUCGCAAGACCAAAGUGGGGGACCUUCGGGCCUCAUGCCAUCAGAUGUGCCCAGAUGGGAUUAGCUAGUAGGUGGGGUAACGGCUCACCUAGGCGACGAUCCCUAGCUGGUCUGAGAGGAUGACCAGCCACACUGGAACUGAGACACGGUCCAGACUCCUACGGGAGGCAGCAGUGGGGAAUAUUGCACAAUGGGCGCAAGCCUGAUGCAGCCAUGCCGCGUGUGUGAAGAAGGCCUUCGGGUUGUAAAGCACUUUCAGCGGGGAGGAAGGCGAUAAGGUUAAUAACCUUGUCGAUUGACGUUACCCGCAGAAGAAGCACCGGCUAACUCCGUGCCAGCAGCCGCGGUAAUACGGAGGGUGCAAGCGUUAAUCGGAAUUACUGGGCGUAAAGCGCACGCAGGCGGUCUGUCAAGUCGGAUGUGAAAUCCCCGGGCUCAACCUGGGAACUGCAUUCGAAACUGGCAGGCUAGAGUCUUGUAGAGGGGGGUAGAAUUCCAGGUGUAGCGGUGAAAUGCGUAGAGAUCUGGAGGAAUACCGGUGGCGAAGGCGGCCCCCUGGACAAAGACUGACGCUCAGGUGCGAAAGCGUGGGGAGCAAACAGGAUUAGAUACCCUGGUAGUCCACGCCGUAAACGAUGUCGAUUUGGAGGUUGUGCCCUUGAGGCGUGGCUUCCGGAGCUAACGCGUUAAAUCGACCGCCUGGGGAGUACGGCCGCAAGGUUAAAACUCAAAUGAAUUGACGGGGGCCCGCACAAGCGGUGGAGCAUGUGGUUUAAUUCGAUGCAACGCGAAGAACCUUACCUGGUCUUGACAUCCACAGAACUUUCCAGAGAUGGAUUGGUGCCUUCGGGAACUGUGAGACAGGUGCUGCAUGGCUGUCGUCAGCUCGUGUUGUGAAAUGUUGGGUUAAGUCCCGCAACGAGCGCAACCCUUAUCCUUUGUUGCCAGCGGUCCGGCCGGGAACUCAAAGGAGACUGCCAGUGAUAAACUGGAGGAAGGUGGGGAUGACGUCAAGUCAUCAUGGCCCUUACGACCAGGGCUACACACGUGCUACAAUGGCAUAUACAAAGAGAAGCGACCUCGCGAGAGCAAGCGGACCUCAUAAAGUAUGUCGUAGUCCGGAUUGGAGUCUGCAACUCGACUCCAUGAAGUCGGAAUCGCUAGUAAUCGUAGAUCAGAAUGCUACGGUGAAUACGUUCCCGGGCCUUGUACACACCGCCCGUCACACCAUGGGAGUGGGUUGCAAAAGAAGUAGGUAGCUUAACCUUCGGGAGGGCGCUUACCACUUU